AUGACUGUGAGCACACUGACUGUCAUCCCUAGCCAAGGGACAACACCAGCUGCCACGACAUCCUCAGGGACCUCAAGCAGAGCCUCAUCUUCACAGGGCUCCACCUCCACCAGCCCUACACCUCACAGUACCUUACAGCCUGGCAGCCCCACGACUGUGAGAACUCAAGCUAUCACCUCUAGUCCAGGGACAACAGCAGCUGCCACGACUUCCCCAGGGACCUCGGGAACACCCACAUCUUCCCAGGGCUCCACCUCCAUUAUCACCACACCUAACACAACCACAGAGCCAGGCAGGACAUCUGUGAGAACACUGACUUUCACCUCUAGCCAAGGGACAACAGGAGCUGCCACUACAUUCCCAGGGACUUUAUCCACACUCACAUCUUCGCGAGGCUACACCUCCAUGAGCACCACAUCCCAGAGUACCACAGAGCUUGGCACCACGACGACUGUGAGAACACAGACUGUCACCUCUAGCUCAGGGACAACACCAGCUUCCUCUUCGUCCGCAGGGACCUCAGGGACGGCCACAUCUUCUCGUACCUCCACCGCUAGCAGCUCCACCUCUCAGAAUACCACCUACUCUCACAGUACUACAACUCUGACCUCGGAGGCUCUCACGCCUACCCUAGGGACAACAGCAGCUGCCACGACUUCCCCAGGGACCUCAGGAACACCUACACCUGAGCAGGGCUCCACCGCCAGCAGCGCUACACCUCAGAGAAGCACUGAGCCUGGCCGCAGGACGACUGUGAGCACGCUGACUGUCACCCCUAGCCAAGGGACAACACCACCUGCCAAUACUGCCCCAGGGACCUCAGGAACAGCCACAUCUUCUCUUAGCUCCACCUUCAGAAGUUCUACCUCUCAGAAUACCAGCUAUUCUCACAGUACUACAACUCUGACCACGGAGGCUCUCACAACUACGCCAGGGACAACAGCAGCUGCCACGACAUCCCCAGGGACCUCAAACAGAGCCACAUCUGUCCAGGGCUCCACCUCCUCCAGCCCUACACCUCAGAGUACCACAGAGCCUGGCAGCACGACUACUGUGUACACAGUGACUGCCACUCAUAGCCAAGGGACAACAGCUGCUGCCACUAAUUCCAUAGGGACCGCAGGAACAACCACAUCUUCCCAGAGCUCCACUUCCAACAACCCCACACCUGAGAGUACCACAGAGCUUGGCAGCAUGACAACUGGAAGAACACAGGCUGUCACUUCUAGCCCAGGCACAACAGCAGGUGCCACUACUUCCUUGGCGACCACAGGAACCCCCACACUUUCCCAGGGCUCCAUCCCCACCAGCGCUCUACCUCAGAGUAACACAGAGACUGGCAGCAUGAGCACUCUGAGAACACAAGCGACCACCUCUAGCCCAGGGACAACACCAGCUGCCAUGACAUCCUCAGGGACCUCAAGCAGAGCCUCAUCUUCACAGGGCUCCACCUCCACCAGCCCUACACCUCACAGUACCUUACAGCCUGGCAGCCCCACGACUGUGAGAACUCAAGCUAUCACCUCUAGUCCAGGGACAACAGCAGGUGCCACUACUUCCCUAGGGCCCUUAAGCAGAGGCACAUCUUCUAGCUCCAACUCCAGUAGCCCCACGCCUCAGAGUACCACAGACCCUGGCAGGUUGAUAUCUGUGAGCACACUGACUCUCACCCCUAGCGCAGGGGACAACAGCAGCUUUCUUUAG
ensembl:lncRNA